AUGGCGGCCGCCGCAUCCACCUCGCCCUCCGGCAGCGGCCGCCGCAACCCGGCGGCGGGAGCGGGCGCUUGCCCCAUCUGCCUCGAAGCCAUCGAAGACGAGGCCUACCUCGACGCCUGCCUGCACUCGUUCUGCUACAGGUGCAUAACGCAGUGGGUGAGCAUCGUGGCGAGCAAGCGGGAAGAACCCUUGUCCACGGCGAGGUGCCCCCUCUGCAAGACCGAGAGCGCGUCCAUCAUCCACGCCUUCGACGGCGAGUCGUUCCAGCAGCAUCACAUCGAGCAGGAGCAGCACCGCCCGGGGAAGAAGAAGACGAGACACCUCUCAGACGCGCACGCGCUCAUAUCACAAAUCUACAACACGAGAGAGGUCUCAGGCGACGAGCCGAGCAUGCAGAAAUACUGGAAGCAGCGGAAGUACCUCCGGAGGAACGUGUGGCUCGAGCCAUGGCUGAGGCGAGAGAUCCAGGCCCUCACGCGGGACGAGGACGUCGACGCCGUGGUCUACCACGUCCACGGCGUCAUCGAGUUUGCCUUGAAACCGCACGCUUCCAAGGAGGCCUCGCCGGAGCGCGCGAGGGAGGAGUUCGUGCGUUCGCUCUCCGACGCCGCGAGGCCGUUCCUCCAUGGACGGACGGCGCGGUUCGUCGCGGAGGCGGAGCUCUUCCUGGCCUCGCAGCUGAACAUCGACGCGUACGGCAGGGCGCGCGCCCGGAGGUUCAGGGAGUCCGCUUCGCAUGUGACGAGGGAGCAGGGUGCGCUGCCGCGGGACCGUCCUCUCGAGGAUCACUACUUCUACUUGUACUUUUUGAGUGACGAGGCAGAUUACGUUGGCGGUGAGAUGUAG
rnacentral:rRNA from 1 species